ACCAAAACAUUAAUCAAAUUUGUUUCUUAGAUCAAAAUUGAUUUCGGCCCUAAAAUCGCCCUUCAGUACCAAAAUUCCUCGCCCGUAUUUUUCCUCGCGAGAGUUCGAAAAAACAAAUCUCACAGGUCUUUUUUAGCAAAGUUUCAAACACCGAAGUCAAGCCAAAUUUUGUCAGGGCUUUGCUGCUGCCUAUGUUCGAAGUUCAUAUUUGUUUUUUUUUUUUUAAGUAGUUCAGAGCAGUGACCGAAAAUGAGAGUGAGAGAUGAGAGGACAAAAUGAGAGUAGAGAAAAAAACGCUAUGUGAAUACCGUUCUUAUUAUUGGUGGGAUAUUUUUAUACUUUAAAGUGUUUAUUUAAUUUAUGUUUGUUGAUUUAAGGAUUUUAAAUUUUGUAAGAAAUUAAACAGGCAGAAAUUAAAAUAGGCAACGCCAAUGCGUUCGUUUUUAAUUAUUUAUCUAUUUGUAAUUAGAAUUACUCUAAUUACACGGAAUCAUUAUGGUCGGAAAUACCCUGGCAAGCGCCUGUCAGAAUUUUCGGUUUCGUUUUCCGUCACUCCUUUUUUGCAUUUUUAUUCAAUUGUAGAACAUGACAAGUGGUGUUUGGAACAUUUUCAACGUUAAAUAUAAAAAACCGAUAGCAUAAGCACAUUAGAAGGCCAGCCCAGCAGCCACCGGACAAGUCCUUGCCCCACUGACGGCACUUGCAUGUUAAAAAGAACGCAAA